rnacentral:tRNA from 1 species
UCAUGUAUGGUUCAGUGGUAGAAUUCUCACCUUCCAUGUGGGAGACUUGGGUUCGAUUCCUGGUCAAUGCA